UUUCACAAAAAAGUUCUACUUGGAAACUAAAGAAAGGAAAAGAAAAAGAAAAGAAUCAGGGGAGGAAGAGGAGAGAAGGAAGAUGUUGUCUCCCCCAGGGAAGGAACUGCCAGACUCUUUUCCAAAUUGGCUGUCCCAUUUCACGUUCCCACGAGCAUCACCCCCCUCUUUUUAUAGAUACUCAUAUUAUAAAAAAAUGAUGGGAUUCCAUAAAGAGCUGUUAAAGAAGAACUAAGAGUAAAAACCGAACUCGAG
rnacentral:lncRNA from 1 species